GUGCUGGUGUGCGGACUACACCCCAGAUAGCAUCAGUGUUGGUUUUACCAAAGUAUUUAUGUUGUUAAUAGAGACGAAGUGCAGAAUGUCACUUGAGGCCUUUGGUUAUAUAAUUUUAUUAAUGCAUUCAACCAAGGUUCAGCAAGUAGAACAUUUUUUGCUUCAUGGAAAUCUGCUGAAUAAUUUAUUUUUAAUGAUGUAGUUGAGUAGUGAAAUUUAUAAACUCACUGCUUUUCAUAAAAAUUAAGACUAGUGCUAUAUUUUAGAAUAAUUGAAUUAUUAUCAAAAGGAAAUACUCUGAUUCUACCAAAUUGCAGCUUUUUGAUUAUUUUCAUUACCCAGUUCUCUUCAGAAUAAAUUUAGUGGGUCAGCUCCAGUCAUGAGCCCGAACUCUUUAAAUGACAAGGAGUACACAGUUAUGUGUAAAGUGUCAUUUUUUCAUCAAAAUAGGGGCUGCUGGAUACAAGUAGGUGAGAAAAGCAAUGAGAAAAAAAGUAUUUUGCAAAAUAUUUGUGUUGUACAGUGAGGAGAGCAAGGAACUGGAAUUAGUGAUAAGGAACAUUUGUUAAGUAAAAAGAGGUGGUUGUGUGACCAAAAAAAAAAAAAAAGCUAAUUUUACAGAGGCUUCUACAGUUAGCAGAGCCCGCAAUAGAACAAAUGCUUCUCUGUGAACACUUUCAAAGGCAUGAAAGUGAUGUUCCACGUAACACAAAGUAACAUGUAAUUGUAUUUAAAUAACACACUGGUGAACCCCUAUCGCUGGGUAGGUCUUAGGGAGAUGGGGUUUCAUGUCUGACCAAGAGCUGAAGCAUUACAGCAAGUUAGAAAACACACAGCACAAAACUAAAGAAAAUGAAUCCGCAGUUCAUAAUGGAGCGGCCGCACUGACUACUGGAAGGAGGAGAUUCUGAAGAUUGGGAGGGAUGAAAUGACCCGCUUUUCCUGGGCUGGUUCCUGAGCUGCUGCUCCCAGGCCAUGGGUUGUGCUGGGAGCAGAGCGGAGGAGUCCCCUGGAGGCAGACUCAGCACCCGUCCGAUGGCGUCCUUCUGAGACUCCGUCUGCCAUUGAGGCUGCACCAAGCUGGAGCCUUCCUAUUCAAAAUACCUUCUAGACUGAAUGCAUAAAAAUAGCAGGCCGCGUCAGCCUGCGGGCUUCGGAAGCUGGGGAAGACUUGUUUUCCCGCACGAAGAAGCUGAGUCCCAGGAAGAUGAAAUGACUUGCUAAUAAGUGAUAAUGAGGAUCUUUUGACUCCAAAGCACAUGCUGCCAACUUGAAGGGACCCACCGGUUCCCGGAAGCCGAGUCCUUGGCUGAUGACCUUCACGCAGCCAGCCUGGCACACCCUUCACGUGCUCGGUGACUCCUGCCCAGCUGUGCGUGUCACAGGCUGUUCUGUCGUUUUACGUUGGCCACGUGUCAGGCUGGUGUGAUGUGUCAGAAAUGGUUUCCUCCACUGGCUGCGCCUUACCAGUGUGACAGCACCGAGACCCGGAGCGACAGCCCCUGCUCCCAACACAUGUUCGCGUCCCUCGGAGGUGGGCGACAUGCGGAGCUGCUGCAGCAGCUGGACAGUUUGCUGGGGAGACCCCUUCAAGUCUAAAGAGGACUCUAGGAACAAGGUGCCCGUAUUGUACAACCAGCGGCAAGUGGACUCGGCCCCCUGGACGUAGCGGGUGAAGCUGCUGCCGGAUUCACCCAUCAGAACUAAUUUCCUGUUUGAAACGAACGUCAACAAUUCUGCAUAGAAGAGAACACCACUGACCUGCAACGAGGACCCCAGUGCGCCGUUGAAUGGAGGUGGGAAGAGGGGCACUUUCUCCUGGACCCAGAAGCGUUCCAUCUUUCUCCAUUGACAUGCCGUGAACUGUUGGUGUUUGUAUAUGCUCAGCACCAGGCUGAUGAAAUUCCUCUUCCUGGCUUAUUUUCAGAAUUUUUUUCAUGAAUGGGUGUGAAAUAUUGUCAAAAAUGUUUUUGUAUCAUUUGAGAUGCUAUUGUUUUCACUUUGAUUCUGUUAAUGUGAUGAAUUAUAAGUAUUGAUUUUAUAACGUGAAACCCAUCUCGCAAUCCUGGCAUAAGCUCCAUUUAUAAAUGACAUUUAUCCUUUUCAUAUAACACCGAAUUAGUGUUUUAGCAAACAAUUGAGGACUUUAUAUAUAUUCAUGCAGGGUAUUGGUCAGUAAUUUUUUUUUCUUAUAAUAUCUUUGUCAGGUUUUGGUAUCAGGGUUAUGCUGAUUCUAGUUUUUUCCUUAAAACUUGGAUCGAAUUUAUGAGUAAAGCCAUCUAUAUCUAGGGUUUUCUUUGUUGUGAGUGUUUUAAUUAUGAAUUCAAUUUUGAAAAUACAUAUUGAGCUAUUUGAAUUUUUCUGUUUCUUCCUGUAUAAUUUUGAUAAGAUAUACUUUUCAAGGAAUUUGUCCAUUUGCUCUAAGCUGUUGAAUUUAUAGGUAAAAAAUCAUUAAUGUUUUUGUCUUCUUGGGAAAUUGAAUCCCUUUUCAUUAGGUAAUAGCCCUUUAUGACUGGUGUAAAAUUGUCUGGUCAACUUUAAUUUUAAUAAAGCUCCUUCAGCUUUCUUUUAAAUAGUGUCUGCAUGGCAUAUCUUUUUUCAUCCUUUUCUUUUUAACCAGUCUGUGCUUUCACAUUAAAAGUGGUGUUUCUGUAGAUUGCCUAUAGUUGGGUCUUGCUUUUUAUCUAAUCUAACAAUCUAUGUUCGAUUUAGUGUGGUUUAUAUUUAAUGUGAUUAUUGAUAUGGUUGAAUUAAUAUCUACCAUCUAAACAGCUGUUUUCCAUUUGUUCCAUUUGUGCUUUAUUUUCCCCCCUUUUUGAUCAAUUGAAAAUAUUUAAUGACUUAAUGUUAUUUCCACUAUUGAAUUACCAUGUAUACCUCUUUUGAAAAAAAUGCAGUAGUUUCCUUAAUAUUUACCACAUACAUCCUAUUUAAUCAAAGUCUACUUUUAAAUAAUACUCUGUUCCAGGUCUAGUGUAAGGACAGUAAUAUACCCCUUACUUCCCCUUCCCACUCUUGUUCUAUUGUUGCUGACAUUUACUCAUACAUAUGCUAUAAAUAUACAAUACUGCUAUUUUGCUUUAGAUAGGUAUCUUUCAAACCAAUUAAAAAUAAUA